UACGAAGGGGGCUAGCGUUGUUCGGAAUUACUGGGCGUAAAGGGUGCGUAGGUGGGUCUGUAAGUCAGUGGUGAAAUCUCCGGGCUUAACCCGGAAAUUGCCAUUGAUACUAUAGGUCUUGAAUCAUCUGGAGGUAAGCGGAAUAUGUCAUGUAGCGGUGAAAUGCUUAGAUAUGACAUAGAACACCUAUUGCGAAGGCAGCUUACUACGGAUGUAUUGACACUGAGGCACGAAAGCGUGGGGAUCAAACAGG
rnacentral:rRNA from 1 species